rnacentral:lncRNA from 1 species
GGAGAAAGAUGCAUCGUGGUCUGAUAAUUAAUUUGAAGAUUCUGGAAAGGGAACUGGAGUGUUCCAUUCGUACUUGUACCUAAUUAAUGAAGACUGUUGUGGUAAAAAUCUGGGCGAGCAACCAACAGUCAAUAUUGCUCGGUCUCUUUGGCACUGGACCUUAAAUGCUUGAAGGGCAACCUGCACAGACGAAAUGAAAGUAAACGGCCGGGGCGAGGCCGCUCAAAACCCCUCCAGCGUGGAGAUCAGACCAAGGCGAUGAUAGCAAAUAAAAGAGCUCAGAGGAGAGUUGUAGGGUUUAUGUUGAGAGACCUUGUUUAAUGGAGGAACGACCUUUUUUAGACGGAAAGUAGUAGUAAAGUAAAGUAAUGGAGCCGUUGUUCCAUGGAUCACGGAGAGAUCCUCGGAAGGAUAAGUAUGAAAGAUCUGGAGAUGUAGGAGACAUUUAAUUGGGAGGAUUGCAAUCUGGAGGAUUAUCCCGUAAUUGUCGUGCCCUGAGGAGAAAAGAAAAUCUCGCAAAGGGCGUAUAGAUAGGCAUCUGGGUGGAGGAUCGAUCAAGCCAAAGUAUUCUACCUCGCCAAAUGGGCGAGGAGAAGACAACACUUUUGGCUCUGGGCGAGUUCAGUGAGAUAGCUGGCGAGGUUCCAUGCUGACCGUUGGACUCGUUUUACCUCGGUCAAGAGGGUUCGGAGAAUAAGCAUGCGUUUGGGGGAUCAUGGGCAACCAGUUUUGUGAUGUGCUCGGGCGACGUACCUGCUUAGUCGGUUGAGAAUUUAUCCCACAUUAGUAGCCCCUACUCGAAAGCCGAGGAGGAUUAGGAUUUACGAGUAGGUAAAUAACAAUCCUGGGGUUAUCCCCAAAUAGCGACACGUGUCUAUACAAACGAACACGUGGGCUAAUAGCAUUGAAUGUUGAAGCGGCGGCCAAUGGCUGGUGCAGCUUAAAAUGAUGGACUUCGGAGGGAAACACGGACUGGGGUUUAAUAACCACAAGCUUGAGGCGGCGCAUUAUGCGACCUUUUGGCGGGGACGGAAAUUAUACCUCGGAGAUGAAACGGCGCCUGACAGUAAUCAUUGCAUUUGAAAUGGAUCGGAGACCAUCAGUGUUUCCUAUAUAAUGGGGGCCCCCCUCUCACUCGUACCUUUAUGAUAUUGUAGUGUCAAGCUAUUGAUCUCGCAUUUAUUUCUCUCGCCCUACUCGUUGAUCGCCCCAGCAUACUUCUACUUUCAGUAAGUAUUUCUUCCACGACUUACAGUAUCGUUUCUCGUAGUGUCAGUCCCGUAACUCGACGAACUAGAUCGGGUGACCUAGAUCUUUACCUUCGUGGGUAUCCGACCAUCUAGAGAAGGCCCCCUUAUAGACUGACGAGGUGUAAACCAAUUGCCCUCGUCGCCCAUGGAGGGUUCACCUGAGAGCUUUUGGUCGCCCAUUCACCCCCAUAGAGGAAAAAAACAAAUACAUGCCUAGAGGAGCUGGACGCUUUAGGGAUACCUAUUCUUUCUUAUGGGGGGUUUGUAGAUAAGGCUUCCCGACGAAGGGGAGACCAUUACUUAUACCCGCCCAGGCGAGGUAGCCUUUUGACAGGCGCAUUUCCCGAUGGCCUUCGUUUUCCCCUUCAUAACACCAUUAGGCUAAUUCUUAAAUUCAUAUAACAUCUGCCAGCCAGCUCGUUCCCCAAUGCAUGGAGAAGCAUUGCAUGCUCCAUGGCGGUUGUGGCGGGUGUACAAAUACGCAUCUCCCUUUCCGAGUUAGGAUUGUUUAGUUUAAAUAGUAAUCCUAAACCGGACAGAAGGCUAUAUCAAGGCGAGGAACCAAAAAGGUUUGCUUCGGAGGAUACCCUUAGUAACGUCAAGGGGUGGAAGAGCAAGUUUUUCUUCGUCGUCCGAUGAAUGGGAGAUUCCCGCAGGAGGAACGUCUCAAGAGGGCGCCCCCAGAGUUCCGAGGACAUGGGGAAUUCCAAGUCGGGUCGCUCUUCUCUUUCUCCCUAUUUUGUAUUUUUGAAUGCUCGGUGGGCUAAUGUUGUUAUUUUUGAAGAUAAGCAAUGCAAUAUAAUCCACUCGACUUACGGCGAUGACCGAAAGUUUUCGAAGGAUUUGCGUCGACGAGAAGUCGGGCGUUUCUCAGCUCCCGUGCUGUUGACUCAAAGUCGUUUGGCCGAAGUAUUUGGAUCCCCCAAAAUUCUAGGGGUGUCGAGGACGGCGGGCGACAAUCUUGUUUUUCCGAGCGGAGAAGCUCCGAGAUCCUCGAGCGAAGUGGGUGAGUCCAAAAUCCCCAUGAUCAAGCUCGGCGAGAAAGUCCUCCGAGAGACGAUCAAUGAGUGUCUAGCGAUCCAUUAGGACAAAAAACCUGAGAGGUUGUUACCUCACAUACCUGAUGGACCCUUUUGAGGUGGUUAGGGGAAAAGGUUUGGAUCCAUACUAGAUCGUUCUUCGAAUGCUCCAAGCUCGAAUUCUUUGUCGAAAUCUUGUUAUUCGGAUUCGAGCCAACUGUCGAGCUUGAAUCGGAUGGUUAUUGUUCCUUUCUUUUUUAUAGGUAAGGAAUUACUUUUCUAUCUGACUCGUAGGGUUGCUGUUGAGCUAUGUCGAAGAGACAGAGAGUGAGCCUUUAAGAAGAUUGGCGGAAAGCUCGGGAAGGCGGAAGGUGAGAGAGGCGGGGAAUCCCGGGGGCGCGUGUGGUGGUUUGAUUUCCAGCAAAGGGAGUGGUAAUUGGCGAGAAGCGUCCCUGAGGAUGCACACCAGGCUCUCGCCCAGCAAAAAGGGAAGGUGAUGACGGCUCCUCAAAGGGAAAAAGGUAGUCACAUCGGCCCUGGGCCAAGAAAAGGGCGACGUCGUCGAGCAAAGCUCCGACAACUCCAGCCACCGAUCUCCUCGCACGGGAGGGGGAAGGUCCUCGGCUAAUCUCGGCACUGUCCUGGGCCCCACGGCUAUGUUGGGCAGCCCUCGGGGCCGAGAAGUUGCUGCGGGGGAGGUGAUUUCUCAAGCCGAUAAGGAGAAGUUGGAGAAGCUCACCUAUAGAUCAAACGGCGACGAGCUCUUCCAUGUGCUUGGUCAGGUACUCUUUUCGGGGCUUUUAAUUGUUCUAUCGAUUUAAUUGACUCUGGAAUGCAAAAAGUGUUUCCUUUCUGAUAAGCAGGGUUGGCUCGGUUUGUCUUGGCUGUCCGGAGUACGGGAAGCCGGGGAGGGAGGGGCGCAGGCAAGCCUUCAAGAGGGGCGAGCCGCUUCCAUGGAAAAUAAAAUGCUCGCCUCCAAAAGGUUGCCGGGGUUUGGUGGUUUUUUUUUUUUUUUUUUGGUUUUGUUGACCGACAGAAACAAACAAUUGGCCGAAUCCCGUGCUCCGUGAGCAGCAGGUCAAUGACGAGCUUCCAAGGCUAAGAGUGAUCGAGAUUCACUAUCCGACAAGUUCGAGAGGUCGGGAUAGUGUUGGUGACCGAGGAGGGAAGCUUGAAAAAAUUCAAGGAAUUUGCCGUGGAGGAGUUAAAUCCUCGUUGAGAGUUCAUGGUGGCAGUGAAAGAUUCCGCCUCCAAGUACUUUGGCGAGGGGUUUAACUUCUGCAAGGUUGCAACUUCGCAGACAUAUCCCGACCUUGCCAUCGACCUUGAAGGCACUGUGGUUGAUCACGAUCUGCUGGAGGAUAAGCGAGCCGAUGAGGAGAAUGACAAGAGAAGAAAAAGGGGAGAACGAGGGGUAUAAUUAAAGAAUGCCCCGAGGUGUAAUUUUUUUUUUUUUUGAGAUGUAAUUUUCGUUUCCAUGAAUGAAAAAAUCUUUGUCCCCCGUUUUUUUUUUGUUGAAUAAUUUGUGUUAAAUGGUGAUCAUGCGGUGGGCGAAAUCUCAAUACUGAAAAAUAUUGGCAACUUCAAUGAAUGGCGAUCAAAACUCUUUGAAUUGGCGAUCUUAAUGUGUUUCGAAUUGGCUUCUCAAUAUUGGCGAAUCAUUGAGGCGAUCAGGAUGUUAUCCUGUAAGAUUGGCGAUCAUAAUUACUGGCGACCUCAAAUAAUGGUGAUGACAAUCUUUUAUAACGACGAUAUAAAUUCAUAGGACGGGAUCGUAAACAAUUUCAAACUCAAAAUUAUUGGGCGUGAUGGAAUUGCUCAUGAAUCAUUAUUGAUAGUAUUUUCAAAUGCUCGGCAUUCCAGGGAUUGUAAAAGGGUUUUUUCGUUUGGGUCUCUUCUAACUAGUAAAGUCCCUGGUCGGGGCGGACUUUGGGACUUUGUAAGGACCUUCCCACGUUGGGCCGAAGUCCCCGCGUUUGGUGCUUUAGUUGACAGGGUUACAUCCGUAAGACUAGGUCGCCCGGAAGGAAUGUAGCGGUUUUGUUGACCCUUUGAAUUAUAGUACUUGCGACUUGGCAACUGUAAGCCAUCUGACGUAGCUCGGCCUUCUCUCUUUUUUCCUGAGGAGGUCCAGGUUGAGUCUCGGUAGAUCGGCCUCUGCUUUCUUUGUCGAAAUUCGGCAACCCUGAGCUUGGCAUCCUAUUCCACGGUAUGGACCGAUUCAGUAUUGAAGAUCAGGAGUAGGAGUUUCGCCCGUAGAAAUCCGGCUAGUAGUAUGAUAAGCCCAAAGUAUGCUUGGAAAUCUCCGCCCACUCACUUUUUGACCUUUCUAACUCGCUUCAAAUUCCUGAGGAUGGUUACGAUUGGUUACUCGUCAACUUGACCAUUAGCCUGAGGAUGACCGGCGAGGAAAUGAUUGGAGAUGGCGAGAUACUAGCAGAUAACCUAAACCUGUCGUUGUCGAACUACCUUGCGUUGUCCGAGAUGAUACCUUUGGGAAUUCCGAAGCUACAAACAAGGUGCUUCCAUACGAAAUCCAAAAAAAAAAAACAAGGGUAUUUUUCCUCAGUAAUUUUGGGCGAGAGGCUCAGCUUCUUAUUCAUUUAGUAAAUAGUCCUACGGCGACGAUCAAAAAAUUUCCUUGCAAAGGAGCUUGUUGUAGGGGACCCAGUAUUCUAUUCCCACUAGGAGAAUGCCAAGGGCUGACAUCGGUACCAUCUCAUGUGAGGGA